rnacentral:lncRNA from 1 species
UCGGGACCAGCGCGGCGAUGGCACCGGCCAGGUGCGGCAGGCGCGCGAGGAUGGUGGCGUCGUGUGCGGCGGCGCCAACUGUUGCUGUGGCCGUGGUGAUGGUCGUCUCGGCCGCCAUGGUAGGAAGGGGUCAGUCGGGCUGUGGGAAAAAAUGCGGUUAGCGCCACAGACCGAGGGCGCCGAUGAAAACACAGCCAUGCACACACCCGCAAAAAAAAAAGAGAGGCACGAGGGGCAAACAAAAGAGAGCACGACAAGGGCGAGAAAAGGAGAGGUGAAAGAAAAAAGAAAGAGAAAAAUCGCAGCGCGCCUGUUGUGCUAUCGUAUCGUACAAAGGGGCGCAAAGGCACGGAGAGGGAAAAAACAGAACCGGUGACAAUGUCGGCGGCGGUGGCGACGCGAUGGACGAUCCGACCGGCGGUCUGUUGGGACGGGAUAAAAGGGCGCGUGCGCAAGGCGACACAGAAGCGCCGGAGAAAAUGGCGUGGCGCGCCGAGGACGCCGUGGGUCCCCUCUGACGGCGCCGCGUCUGUUUGGCGUCGACGGCACACACGCCCCGCAGACGAAUUUUUUUGUUUAUACUCCUUUCCUUUUCCCGUCAUUCCCAUAAACGGAUUGUGAUUGGCCCAUAUUUUCGUGGCGGGAAGAAAAACAGGGUCUCUCCUUUUGUC